rnacentral:misc_RNA from 1 species
UUUCCGUAGGUGAACCUGCGGAAGGAUCAUUACUGAGUUAGGGUCUUUAUGGCCCGACCUCCAACCCUUUGUUUAAUCUACCAUGUUGCUUUGGCGGGCCCGCUUAGAAAUGGGCCGCCGGAGACCUUUGAGUCUCUGGUCAGUGCCUGCCAGUAGCCUUUCUAAAUUCAUUUAUAACCGUGUCUGAAUAUACAAAGAAAAAUUAAAAUAAAACUUUCAACAACGGAUCUCUUGGUUCUG